rnacentral:rRNA from 1 species
ACUCCUACGGGAGGCAGCAGUGGGGAAUAUUGGACAAUGGGCGAAAGCCUGAUCCAGCCAUGCCGCGUGUGUGAAGAAGGUCUUCGGAUUGUAAAGCACUUUAAGUUGGGAGGAAGGGCAGUAAGCUAAUACCUUGCUGUUUUGACGUUACCGACAGAAUAAGCACCGGCUAACUUCGUGCCAGCAGCCGCGGUAAU